GAAAAACCACCCAUUAUUCACAGUGGAUAUUCCUUGUGGGGGAAUUCAGUCUUUAUAACUUUUCUUUCCCCACUCCAUUUUUGCCACAGAGAGAGUGUUGGUGAGGAAAUAGGUGUCGUUUAAGGCUAGGAAGAAAGAACACAGCAACACAGGCCUCAUCCAGAAAGCAGAAGAAGCAAUUUAUUGCAGAAGCAGACACAUUUUUAUAGACUGGUUUGCAGAACCAGGGGCAGAACCAAGCUCGUUGGUCCAAGGAAGGCAACACCUCUUGUAAACAUGCCUUUACCAAAACACCACGUUCCUCACACACUCUCCUGUGCACAACACCAGGUGCUAAUCCUUGUUAUUAAUUCUUUCCCUUCUGUUUUCCUUUGGGCAGCUUGGAAAAACUCAAACUGCGUUUUUCCCUGAUUCUCCUGUAUCCACAAACAGGUGAGAGCAUUGGUGAGGAAAGAGGAGAGAAUGUUGGUGAGGAAACUGGAGAGAGUGUUGGUGAGGAAACAGGAGAGAACAUUGGUGAGGAAAUAGGACAGAGUGUUGGUGAGGAAAUAGGAGAGAACGUUGGUGAGGAAACUGGAGAGAACGUUGGUGAGGAAACAGGAGAGAACAUUGGUUCUGUUCCCUUUCUGUCUAACCCAACACGUGCAUUGCUCCGUGCGGACGGGCGGGGCGCGGAGCCACGCAGGUCCUCGCCCCGCUCUCGCUCAGGGCCCAGUGGAAGGAAAAGCAAAGACCCCAAACCGUCGGGAUGGUUUCAGAUCCCGAGUUCCAGCUGCCCCAGCAGAACCCAGCGAGCGAUUCCCGAGUCAUUCCUUAAUCCUGGCGUUGCUCCAGCUCCAUCCCACGGCAAUGCAUCGCGAGUAGGUAGGAAAUCCAAACCAACGAGAUAACUUUGCAAUCACCGAGUUUAUCGAUAAUUUUUUUUUUUUUUUUUUUUUUUUUUUUUUUUACCUUCCCCUUUUGAAGGUUUUUUUGAACUAAGAUGUAUUUGGAAUCACAGCAUGGUGUUGCAAUUCUUUCUACUUUUAAAUACUGAUACAUUCUGUGUGUAAAGUCUUGUUUCUUAGCUAAGAGAAUCUUAAAUGUGGAGCUGAGUUCGAACCAUUUUUUUCCUUGUUGUACUGUGAUUUGGGAAUUAUUUUGAUAUAAUCCUUUAAUUUGGUAGAAGAUUUCCCACGCCUUCUCCCUCCUUCCUAUCACCAUUUCAUAUUUUUUACAAAACUGAAAAAAAAACAAACAAACAAAGGAACAAAUAAUCUUUUUUUCUCUAUUUAGGCUGUGUAAUGUUGUGUUGUCCAGAUUCUGUAUAAAAAUAUGUAUAUGAUGUAUCUGAUAUUUGGCAGCGAACGGCUGCAACUUUAACCAAUAUAAUUAACAAAGAAAUGCAUAAUGUUGGUGUUUUAAAAAGUAAAAAAAAAAAAAAAACCUAGUUAAGAUGUUUGUGUAAACUUGCAUGGUUUAAAAUGUACUUAGUGCAUUGAGAAAUGUUGUUAGGGUCCUAAGUGAAAGGCUGGUUUUACUUUUUGAUUCUAAUGGUGAUUGGUUUGUUGAUCAGAAUAUCCCCUAUACUGUAUGUCUUAGUUUAUUUAGCAUAUUGGUUUCUUUUCUCUCCUCCAGACCUAGCAUAGUGUAUCUAUCUCUGUGUGAUACUGUUCCUUAAAACCAGGUUGUGGAAACUGCGUUCCGUCCGGCCAAAACGGUGUUUCGCAUCACGCUCGCGGUUCAGUUGCGCUCCAUUUGGUUUGCUGUCAAGUCCAGGUUGGACUUUCCC
ensembl:lncRNA